rnacentral:rRNA from 1 species
GUAGGUGGCAAGCGUUGUCCGGAUUUACUGGGCGUAAAGGGAGCGUAGGUGGAUAUUUAAGUGGGAUGUGAAAUACUCGGGCUUAACCUGGGUGCUGCAUUCCAAACUGGAUAUCUAGAGUGCAGGAGAGGAAAGUAGAAUUCCUAGUGUAGCGGUGAAAUGCGUAGAGAUUAGGAAGAAUACCAGUGGCGAAGGCGACUUUCUGGACUGUAACUGACACUGAGGCUCGAAAGCAUGGGGAGCAAACAGGUUUAGAUACCCUGGUAGUCCACGCAGUAAACGAUGAAUACUAGGUGUAGGGGUUGUCAUGACCCUCUGUGCCGCCGCUAACGCAUUAAGUAUUCCGCCUGGGAGUACGGUCGCAAGAUUA